CGCACGCACUAGGGGUGUGAGAACUGAGAUGAGGAAUUUCCUCAAACCCUUUGAACCUGAACUAGAUGAUGCUAGCGGAGGAAAGUGUACGAUGUUAUCA
rnacentral:ncRNA from 1 species